AUUGAACGCUGGCGGCAGGCCUAACACAUGCAAGUCGAACGAGUGGCGGACGGGCGAGCAGUGUCUGGGAAACUGCCUGAUGGAGGGGGAUAACUACUGGAAACGGUAGCUAAUACCGCAUACCAUCGGUUGGGCCCAGAGGGGUUUAGCUAGUGGGUGGGGUAACGGCUCAUCUAGGCGUCGAUCCCUAGCUGGUCUGAGAGGAUGACCGGCCACACUGGAACGGAGACACGGUCCAGACGCCUACGGGAGGAAGCAGUGGGGAAUAUUGCACAAUGGGCGCAAGCCUGAUGCAGCCAUGCCGCGUGUAUGAAGAAGGCCUUAGGGUUGUAAAGUACUUUCAGCGAGGAGGCGUUACUCGCAGAAGAAGCACCGGCUAACUCCGUGCCAGCAGCCGCGGUAAUAC
rnacentral:rRNA from 1 species